GGUGUGUUAAUUUAUUUCUAUUCCUGUAGAUUUCUACUAUCGGUCACGUUAUAAUACAAAACGAGUUUGAUCGGAGUUCGAUUUAUGACAAAUAUAUAUAAGUAUAGAAUUGGCGUGUAUAAAGAUCAUGUAACACUUCAGUUGGUUUCUGGGUGACCUUGGCUGCGGGUGACCUUAUCCGCUCAGAAUCGUUUUAUUGAUUUAUCGUU